CAAGGAUGUGAGGCAGGCGAGCCGGACGCCGCUCGCAGCACCGGAGAGGGCGCACUGCAAAGGCGGGCAGCAGACCGUGGAGAGCCCGGGAGCGGAGCUGGACACCGCCUCGGAGGGAAGAAAUGAGGUAGCGGCGGUUCCCGGACCCGGCCAUGCCCGUCCCCUGUUCUCGGAGCCCAGCGCCGUCUCGGCCAGGCCAGCCCGGACACUGAGCGGGCCGAGCGCGAGUCCCCGGCGUCCGGCGGAGCGAAGAUGCAGUGAGUCCCCGCGGGACUGCUGCGCGGGGCCCGCCGCGGCCAGCCG
rnacentral:lncRNA from 1 species